GCCGCGUGUGUGAAGAAGGCCUUCGGGUUGUAAAGCACUUUCAGUUGUGAGGAAAAGUUAGUAGUUAAUACCUGCUAGCCGUGACGUUAACAACAGAAGAAGCACCGGCUAACUCCGUGCCAGCAGCCGCGGUAAUACGGAGGGUGCGAGCGUUAAUCGGAAUUACUGGGCGUAAAGCGCACGCAGGCGGUUUGUUAAGCUAGAUGUGAAAGCCCCGGGCUCAACCUGGGAUGGUCAUUUAGAACUGGCAGACUAGAGUCUUGGAGAGGGGAGUGGAAUUCCAGGUGUAGCGGUGAAAUGCGUAGAUAUCUGGAGGAACAUCAGUGGCGAAGGCGACUCCCUGGCCAAAGACUGACGCUCAUGUGCGAAAGUGUGGGUAGCGAACAGGAUUAGAUACCCUGGUAGUCCACACCGUAAACGCUGUCUACUAGCUGUGUGUGCCUUUAAGGCGUGCGUAGCGAAGCUAACGCGCUAAGUAGACCGCCUGGGGAGUACGGCCGCAAGGUUAAAACUCAA
rnacentral:rRNA from 1 species